GAAGCGGCAACAGCUCAAAUUUGAAAUCUGGCGCAAGCCCGAGUUGUAAUUUGUAGAGGAUGCUUCAGGGCAGCGGCCGGUCUAAGUUCCUUGGAACAGGACGUCAUAGAGGGUGAGAAUCCCGUAUGCGACCGGUUGGCACCCGUCACGUAGCUCCUUCGACGAGUCGAGUUGUUUGGGAAUGCAGCUCUAAAUGGGAGGUAAAUUUCUUCUAAAGCUAAAUACCGGCCAGAGACCGAUAGCGCACAAGUAGAGUGAUCGAAAGAUGAAAAGCACUUUGGAAAGAGAGUUAAAAAGCACGUGAAAUUGUUGAAAGGGAAGCGCAUGCAACCAGACUUGUCGGCGGCGUUCCGCCGGUCUUUUGACCGGUCUACUCGCCGCCGGCAGGCCAGCAUCACUUGGGGGCGUCGGAUAAAGGCGUCGGGAAUGUGGCCCUUCGGGGUGUUAUAGCCCGGCGCACAAUACGACGACUCCCGAGUGAGGUCCGCGCUUCGGCUAGGAUGCUGGCGUAAUGGUUGUAUGCGGCCCGUCUUGAAACACGGACCAAGGAGUCUAACAUCUAUGCGAGUGUUCGGGUGUCAAACCCCUACGCGGAAUGAAAGUGAACGGAGGUGGGAGCUUAGGCGCACCAUCGACCGAUCCUGAUGUCUUCGGAUGGAUUUGAGUAAGAGCAUAGCUGUUGGGACCCGAAAGAUGGUGAACUAUGCCUGAAUAGGGUGAAGCCAGAGGAAACUCUGGUGGA
rnacentral:rRNA from 1 species